rnacentral:rRNA from 1 species
GUAAUCGUAGGUCAGCAUACUACGGUGAAUACGUUCCCGGGCCUUGUACACACCGCCCGUCAAACCAUGAGAGUUGGCAACACCCGAAGUCGGUAGUCUAACCGCAAGGAGGACGCCGCCGAAGGUGGGGGUUGAUGAUUAGGGUUAAGUCGUAACAAGGUACC